GGGGUCAGCAUGGUGGUGGUAGUGUGAUGGUUUGGGGUCCAGCAUGGUGGUGGUAGUGUGAUGGUUUGGGGUCAGCAUGGUGGUGGUAGUGUGAUGGUUUGGGGUCCAGCGUGGUGGUGGUAGUGUGAUGGUUUGGGGUUCAGCAUGGUGGUGGUAGUGUGAUGGUUUGGGGUCAGCAUGGUGGUGGUGGUAGUGUGAUGGUUUGGGGUCCAGCAUGGUGGUGGUAGUGUGAUUGUUUGGGGUCCAGCGUGGUGGUGGUAGUGUGAUGGUAGUGUGAUGUUUUGGAGUCCAGCGUGGUGGUGGUAGGUUGAUGGUUUGGGGUCAGCAUGGUGGUGGUAGUGUGAUGGUUUGGGGUCAGCAUGGUGGUGGUAGUGUGAUGGUGUGGGGUCAGCAUGGUGGUGGUAGUGUGAUGGUUUGGGGUCAGCAUGGUGGUAGUACUGUGUUGGUUUGGGGUCCAGCGUGGUGGUGGUAGUGUGAUGGUUUGGGGUCCAGCGUGGUGUGGUAGUUGUGAUGGUUUGGGGUCCAGCAUGGUGGUGGUAGUGUGAUUGUUUGGGGUCAGCAUGGUGGUGGUAGUGUGAUGGUUUGGGGUCAGCGUGGUGGUGGUAGUGUGAUGGUAGUGUGAUGGUUUGGGGUCCAGCGUGGUGGUGGUAGUGUGAUGGUUUGGGGUCCAGUGUGGUGGUGGUAGUGUGAUUGUUUGGGGUCCAGCGUGGUGGUGGUAGUGUGAUGGUAGUGUGAUGGUUUGGGGUCCAGCAUGGUGGUGGUGGUAGUGUGAUGGUUUGGGGUCCAGCAUGGUGGUGGUGGUGUUGUGAUGGUUUGGGGUCAGCAUGGUGGUGGUAGUGUGAUGGUUUGGGGUCAGCAUGGUGGUGGUAGUGUG
ensembl:lncRNA